ACUUUCUCACCGAAAACAUCUACAUCGCCAUUUCUCCUCGAAUUAUGCGGAUUCGAACCUGCAUGCUCUUUCUCAUCGUGUAGUCGCAAAAAUGAAAAUGGACUUCAACCAAAGGAGCAAAUUUAUAUAUUAGUUUUUUUCUACACAAUUCGGAGAGAAAAUGGCGACAUAGAUGUUCUCGGUGACAGU
rnacentral:pre_miRNA from 1 species